GCCCUCGUAGCUCAAUGGCUAGAGCGUUGGACUUUUACGAGCAAUUCCGGUCGGCGAAGUCAUCCAAAGGCUGUGGGUUCGAGUCCCACCGGGGGCG